rnacentral:rRNA from 1 species
UGAGUACGAAAUGCUACGGCAUUGAAGCAGUCUAUGUCAUACUUCCUAGAAAAGCUUGCACUGUCAUAAACAAAUAAUGCCUGUACCAUAACCGACACAGGUGGGUAGGUAGAGUAUACUAAGGGGCGCGAGAUAACUCUCUCUAAGGAACUCGGCAAAAUGACUCCGUAACUUCGGGAGAAGGAGUGCCUUAUUUAUAAGGUUGCAAUAACAAGAUCCAAGCAACUGUUUAUCAAAAACACAGGUCUCCGCUAAGUCGUAAGACGAUGUAUGGGGGCUGACGCCUGCCCAGUGCCAGAAGGUUAAAGAAGUUGGUUAGCAUUCGCGAAGCUGAUAACUGAAGCCCUGGUGAACGGCGGCCGUAACUAUAACGGUCCUAAGGUAGCGAAAUUCCUUGUCGGGUAAGUUCCGACCCGCACGAAAGGCGUAAUGAUUUGGAUACUGUCUCGGAGAGGGGCUCGGUGAAAUAGACUUGUCUGUGAAGAUGCGGACUACCUGCACCUGGACAGAAAGACCCUAUGAAGCUUUACUGUAACUUGAAAUUGAAAUUGGACUUUAUUUGCGCAGUAUAGGUGGGAGGCAUUGAAGAUAUUCUUGCGGGAAUAUUGGAGCCAUCAGUGAGAUACCACUCUUGUAAUGUUAGAUUUCUAACUUUGUAUCAUUAUCUGGUCAAAGAACAGUUUCAGGCGGGCAGUUUGACUGGGGCGGUCGCCUCCCAAAUGGUAACGGAGGCGCACAAAGGUUUCCUCUGAACGGGUAGAAAUCGUAUCUAGAGUGUAAAGGCAUAAGGAAGCUUGACUGUGAGACCUACAAGUCGAGCAGGGACGAAAGUCGGUCUUAGUGAUCUGACGGUGCUGAGUGGAAAGGCCGUCACUCAACGGAUAAAAGUUACUCUAAGGAUAACAGGCUGAUCUCCCCCAAGAGUUCACAUCGACGGGGAGGUUUGGCACCUCGAUGUCGGCUCAUCGCAUCCUGGGGCGGUAGUACGUCCCAAGGGUUGGGCUGUUCGCCCAUGAAAGCGGUACGCGAGCUGGGUUCAGAACGUCGUGAGACAGUUCGGUCCAUAUCCGGUGUAGGCGUUAGAAUAUUGAGAGGAGCCUUCUUUAGUACGAGAGGACCGAGAAGGACAUACCUCUGGUGUACCAGUUAUUGUGCCAACGGUAAACGCUGGGUAGCUAUGUAUGGAGAGGAUAACCGCUGAAAGCAUCUAAGUGGGAAGCCCACCUCAAGAUAAGUAUUCC